rnacentral:misc_RNA from 1 species
GAAAUGCGAUAAGUAAUGUGAAUUGCAGAAUUCAGUGAAUCAUCGAAUCUUUGAACGCACAUUGCGCCCGCCAGUAUUCUGGCUGGCAUGCCUGUCCGAGCGUCAUUUCAACCAUCAAGCCCCCGGGCUUGUGUUGGGGACCUGCGGCUGCCCGCAGGCCCUGAAAACCAGUGGCGGGCUCGCUGUCACACCGAGCGUAGUAGCAAUCACCUCGCUCAGGGCGUGCUGCGGGUUCCGGCCGUUAAACAGCCUUACAAAACCCAAGGUUGACCUCGGAUCAGGUAGGAAGACCCGCUGAACUUAAGC